rnacentral:lncRNA from 1 species
UGUCCUAUAUUUCACCAAAUUUUUAGAUGAUGGAACAAAACCUAAUCGAUCUUCAUUUGGGUUUAUAGGAUUUAAUUCUGGACUGGUUUGGUUCGACUCUGUUUUCAAGAGUUGGGAAGCAGAUCACGAUCGAUUGAAUUGAUUCCAUGUCGGUGCAAGACACACUGUUUCGCUUUAUGCAUAAUUCCAUUGUUUUGACCGAAGAGGACUUGUAAGUUCAGGAGAUGUUUCCAUUUAAUUGACAAACUGAUUUUAAAUGUAGGUUUGUAUAAGGG